GCCUUUUGACAAAAUAUAAAAGGUCCAGCCUGCCCAGUGACAAAAUUAAACGGCCGCGGUACCCUAACCGUGCAAAGGUAGCACAAUCACUUGUUCUCUAAAUAAGGACUAGUAUGAACGGCAUCACGAGGAUUAUGCUGUCUCCCCCAUUUAAUCAGUGAAACUGAUCCCCCCGUGAAGAAGCGGGGAUAAACUUAUAAGACGAGAAGACCCUGUGGAGCUUUAAACUAACACCACCUACCUCAAAAUACACCAUAAUAAACAAGUAAGCUUGUGUACUAGUUUUAGGUUGGGGCGACCGCGGAGUAAAACUAAACCUCCACGAUGAAAGACUUUACUUUCUAAUCCAAGAGCAACACCUCAAAGAAUCAACAAACUGACAUAUUGACCCAAUAACUUUGAUCAACGAACCAAGUUACCCCAGGGAUAACAGCGCAAUCCAUUUCAAGAGCUCAUAUCGACAAAUGGGUUUACGACCUCGAUGUUGGAUCAGGGUAUCCCAGUGGUGCAGCCGCUACUA
rnacentral:rRNA from 1 species